rfam:Desulfitobacterium dichloroeliminans LMG P-21439, complete genome.
AUACCCUUUAAGAGCUUUCCUGAGAGUGAGCCAAGGGUAGAGAAUACAGGGUACUUGUAUCCUUAUAUCCUCUUACCUUUGGUAAGGGGAUUUUUUGU